AAAAGCUGGCAAUCCAUCCUGAACACACCCACUCUUGGAAGCUCAGCAAGGUGGGUCUUAGUACUCAGAUGGGAGAUAAGGUAAGAAAGCUGCAGUCUAUG
ensembl:rRNA Gm27952 predicted gene, 27952